rnacentral:lncRNA from 1 species
GCUAACCAUAAUUGGAUCAAGUAUUAAACCACUAAUACCAAUUAGCAGACAUGGUAAAACAUGUAAGUCAAAUAUAUCUUGAAACGCAUCUAGUGUGCCUUAAUCUUGUAAGAGGCACCGUAAUAGCCUUCUUUAGGUUGGAAGACAAGCUUAAGAGAGUUACUUCAUCUCAUUUUUUUUUAGUUUGAUAACAUGGUGUCCAGGCGAGCUUUCGCGUACCUUGACUAAAUGCACGGGAUAUCUAGGAUAGAUGGGAAGAAUCACCUAGUUUGUUUUUUUGUCUCUGCUGGGAUUUGAACUUGAAAUCUCAUGUUCUCAACCCACUUCUUUGACCACUAGGACACACCUUUGGGUGCUACUUCAUCUCGAAUUAGUAGUGAUUCUUCUUACAUUUAAUUUGACCCUCUUAUUUGGAAGGAAG